GCUUCUUUCAGAAAUAGGUACAGAACAGACUCUUUUGGAAACCUCCAUAACAUGCACUUCCUUGACCUCAGAGUAAUCUGGAUGAAUCAUGUGACUUCAGUUCUAUUUGGUGUUGCAAGCUUAUGCAACUCCUGUAAUCCCUGAACUAUGUCAUGUUAAUGUGAAACUUAACUCGCACAGGAGAUAGAGACAUAGCUUUGUCACAGUUCCCAAGCUGCAACAUUUUAGGCUUCUCAUAAUUCUUUUACACUUCACACAUACCAAUAAUAACUACAGCUAGGAUUAAUAUGGGUAAUUGGCUACUUUCCAAAAUUCAAUUGUUUCAUUUCUUACUUGUUAAUAUGUAGAGAAUCUUGGCAAAAUUACCCAAAGAUUUUUUAAGUAUUACAUAUUUGGGAGAGAUUUUUGAGGGCUCUUGUGCUUUCUUAUUCUUCUCUGUGCUUAUGAUAAUGAACACAGGCAAACAAAUGCCAUGCAUUUUUCAGUAGGUAUUUUAUUUAUCUAACCUAAUAAAUUAAUGUGGUUUUGAAAAUAGGACAAAAGUGAAAAAUGAUAACCAAAAGCAUUGUGUCAAAAGUCUGGUCAAAUCAACUGCCCAGAAACCGGCUAUGAGACACAGAACUAAUUAGGCACGGCAUUUCUGGGGAAACUCUUCGUGUGUACCCACUCUUCACAGAGAAGAUGCACUUUCAGAAGGAGAGUGCCUUCUCCCAAGGGGAAAGAUUAUGAAUUUAAGUUGGCUGUGUUAAUUUUGAGGUCACUUUGAGGACCCCAUGAGAGUAUAAAUAUUAGUUACUUGGUUAUAUGGUUAUGGGGCUCAAAGAACAAACUUAAUUGCACAUACAUCUUUUCCUACGUGUUCUAAACAAUUUAGGACCAAUUCAAGGAGAUACAUGAAGAUUCAAGUCCAGGAUCAGCAUUAUACUGAAACUACUACACCGUCAAGGUGGCAUCUGUGAUUGUUAUUUACUGCAAUAUCCCUAACUCCUAAGAUGGAAAACUUGACAAAUCAAUGGUGAACAUUAGGUGUUUUAGUGAAGAGAAUUGUCAGAGGAUGUUCUUGGAAAGAAAUAAGGAAAUCCAAUUGGGGCAGAUCCAUAAUGCAGGUACAGUUAGAUUUGAUCAAAUGUCAUCCGAUCUCCUAGAGGUCGAUGCAGCUGGAAUGAAUUUUCAUGGCUGUCUUGAACUGAAUCAAAGCAUCACGGCUUUUGUCUCUCUGCACCAGCCAGACACGGGACACAAGCCACCCUGGAAAGGGGGACAGUAUCCGGGGAAUUGUAGGGGAAGGGGUCUAUGGAUAAGAAAGUAAAAUAGGCUCCUCCUUAGGUCUUCUAGCUAAUCCUGACUAGGAGGAAUUAAAAACAAACUUUACUAGAAAGAUUCCCCUAGGAAGCAGGUCAAGACAGGAAUAAAAAAGAGAAAAACCAGAUGAAGAAAGGUACCAAAUGGCCUUGGGAUUUGCACCAGGAGACGAGAAAAUGAGCUGACAGGAAGAGCACAGAGAGAAAGCAAAGUGCACAAGUAAGA